rnacentral:tRNA from 1 species
AGCUUUAUAGUCAAUUAGAUUAUGAUAUUAGAUUGCAAAUCUAAAGGAGUAUAAAGAAGUACUAAGGCUU